UGAGGAAUAUUGGACAAUGGGCGAGAGCCUGAUCCAGCCAUGCCGCGUGCAGGAAGACGGCCCUAUGGGUUGUAAACUGCUUUUAUACAGGAAGAAACACUCCCUCGUGAGGGAGCUUGACGGUACUGUAGGAAUAAGGAUCGGCUAACUCCGUGCCAGCAGCCGACGGUAAUACGGAGGACUCCAAGCGUUAUCCGGAAUCAUUGGGUUUAAAGGGUCCGUAGGCGGGAUAAUAAGUCAGCGGUGAAAGUCUGUGGCUCAACCAUAGAAUUGCCAUUGAUACUGUUGUUCUUGAGUGUUUAUGAAGUGGUUAGAAUAUGUAGUGUAGCGGUGAAAUGCUUAGAUAUUACAUGGAAUACCGAUUGCGAAGGCAGAUCACUAAUAAAAUACUGACGCUGAUGGACGAAAGCGUAGGUAGCGAACAGGAUUAGAUACCCUGGUAGUCUACGCCGUAAACGAUGGUUACUAGCUGUUCGGAAGCAAUUC
rnacentral:rRNA from 1 species